AUUAUGAUUAAGUGUGAAAGGAUGUGGAAAUUCCUAAACAGCCGGGAGGUUGGCUUAGAAGCAGCCAUCCUUUAAAGAGUUCGUAACAGAUCACCAGUCGAGUUUCUGGGCCCAGAAAAUGGACGGGACUAAGCGGUUCACCGAUACUUCGGGCCACCGAAAGGUGAUGCGGUAGAGAGGCGUCGUGCGUGGAUGGAAGCAGGGGCGUGAGUUCCUGUGGACCGCGUUCGAAUGAUAAUCAUGGGAAGAGUAGUAGCGUAGACGGGUGAGAAUCCCGUCCGCCGUAGGGGCUAGGGUUCCUCGACGAUGUUCAUCAGUCGAGGGUUAGUCGGUCCUAAGGUUUCCCCUAACAGGAGAAAUCGAAAGGGAAGCAGGUUAAUAUUCCUGCACCAGUCCGUAUUUUGUCCAGUUCUUGACACAUCGGGUGCGACGGAGCACUCCUGUCGGAGUGUUGCUGAUUGCGAUAAAGUCGUGGAGAACCGUAAUGGUGAGAAGCGACCUAAGUGGUCGGGAGGCGGAGUAUUUCGCUUCCGUUCUAUCCUGGUGUCCGUGAAAAGGGAGCUGGAGCCGUACUGACUGUCCGUACCGAGAUCUGACACAGGUGCCCCUAGGUGAGUAGCCUAAGGCGUCGCGGCAUAAUCAAGGCAAGGGAAUUCGGCAAAUUGGCCCCGUACCUUUGGUAGAAGGGGUGCCAGCCUUGCAGAAGGCUGGUCGCAGUGACCAGGGAGCUCCGACUGUUUACUAAAAACACAGGUGGCUGCUAGUCCGUAAGGAUGAGUAUAGCCGCUGAAUCCUGCCCAGUGGCGGUAUCUGAAACCCGGUUUCACCCGGACGAAGGACCGCUAAACGGCGGGGGUAACUAUGACCCUCUUAAGGUAGCGUAAUACCUUGUCGCUUAAUUGGCGACUUGCACGAAUGGCCUAACGAGAGCUCUACUGUCCCUGCCUUGAGCCCGAUGAAAUUGACGUACUGGCGCACAGUCCAGUACGUCCCAGCCGCAAGCGAAGACCCCGUGGAGCUUUACUGCAGCCUGUCGUUGUGGUACGAGUUGUAAUGUGCAGGGUAGACGGGAGCCAUCGAAACCUGGGCGCCAGCUCGGGUGGAGGCAACGAUGAAACACCGUCCUUUACGAUUCGUCCCGCUAAACCCCUUCGGGGGGACACCGAUAGGUGGGCAGUUUGGGUGGGGCGCCACUCCCUCGAAAAAAUAACAAGGGAGCUCAAAGGUCAGCUUAGGUAGGUCAGAAAUCUACCGUAAAGUGCAAGGGCAAAAGCUGGCUUGACGUGGUUUGGCACCACAACAAACCACGAUGCGAAAGCAGGACCUAGCGAACCAACCAGCCCCGUUAGUAGGGGCGGUUGAUAACAGAAAAGUUACCCCGGGGAUAACUGAGUUGUCUGGAGCAAGAGCCCAUAUCGACCUCCAGGCUUGCUACUUCGAUGUCGUCUCUCUCUAUCCUGGGUGUGCAGAAGCACCCAAGGGUGGGGUUGUUCGCCCAUUAAAAGGGAUCGUGAGAUGGGUUUAGUCCGUCGUGAGACAGGAUUGUUGCUAUGUGCUGGGACCGUUUUGUGCCUGAAGGAAAGGGCCCCUUAGUACGAGAGGAACGGGGGCUCGCAGCCACUAGUUUACCAGUUGUCCGACAGGGCAUUGCUGGGCAGCCACGCUGCAAGGGAUAAGAGCUGAAAGCAUCUAAGCUCGAAACCCACCCCGAGACGAGGCACUUUGACGCCCGUAGAAGACGGGAUGAUAGGACCGGGGUGUACGCACCGAGAAUUAUAGUGGUGCCAGAAACCGCUUCGGUGGCGGAAGGUACCACUUCGAGGUGUUCAGCCC
rnacentral:rRNA from 1 species